AAGAUAGAGGUGCACUCAAAAUGAGUAUGUUCUGACUGGAUCUGACCAAUCGUCAAUGCAGAACAAAAAGGUGCGAGUGCCGAAGAAAAGAAUCUGGUCCUUUCUUUUCUGGUCACAGCUCCGAACAGGUCUGUGACUGUCAUCGUUGUGAUGGAGAGCUAUCGG
rnacentral:ncRNA from 1 species